CACAUCAUGUUGAAACAUUGGUUUCCAUAUGAUCACUGAAGUUAAGCAAUGUCGAGCCUGGUCAGUACUUAGAUUGGUAACCAUUUGGAAAUAUCAGGUGCUGUAAG